rnacentral:rRNA from 1 species
AUUGAACGCUGGCGGCAGGCCUAACACAUGCAAGUCGAGCGAGCGGCGGACGGAUGAGUAAUGUCUGGGAAACUGCCUGAUGGAGGGGGAUAACUACUGGAAACGGUAGCUAAUACCGCAUACCAUCAGGUGUUCCCAGAUGGGAUUAGCUAGUAGGUGGGGUAAUGGCUCACCUAGGCGACGAUCCCUAUCUGGUCUGAGAGGAUGACCAGCCACACUGGAACUGAUACACGGUCCAGACUCCUACGGGAGGCAGCAGUGGGGAAGAUUGCACAAUGGGCGCAAGCCGGAUGCAGCCAUGCCGCGUGUGUGAAGAAGGCCUUCGGGUUGUAAAGCACUUGCAGCGGGGAGGCGUAACCCGCAGAAGAAGCACCGGCUAACUCCGUGCCAGCAGCAGCGGUAAUUC